rnacentral:rRNA from 1 species
UACGAAGGGGGCUAGCGUUGUUUCGGAAUUACUGGGCGUAAAGGGCGCGUAGGCGGUACUUCAAGUCAGGCGUGAAAGCCCCGGGCUCAACCUGGGAACCGCGCUUGAGACUGGAGAACUAGAGUUCGGGAGAGGAUGGUGGAAUUCCCAGUGUAGAGGUGAAAUUCGUAGAUAUUGGGAAGAACACCGAUGGCGAAGGCAGCCAUCUGGACCGACACUGACGCUGAGGCGCGAAAAGCGUGGGGAGCAAACAGG